GGAGGUGUCUGAAUUCGAUGAUGUGCAUGUAAGUGAUGACAAUCAAGAAUCUAGUACCGAGGAUCUUCAUUCAGACGGGGAAAGAGAGAUAAUAGGGAAGAAAUCUGGAAGAGCGUAUAAAGAAAUAGAAGCACGAGUGUAUCGGGAGAAUGAUCUAAGCAAAGGUGGAUGCUUUAAGGCAGAAGGCAAAGUAAUUGCUACACAACGCGCCAUGAAUAAUAAAAGAGUAAUGUUAUAUGAUGAUUAGAUUGUGUUUUGUUUCAUAUUAAAAGAGUUUAUUUUGAUAUGUAAAAUGCUCAUAUAUUGUUUAUUUUCAUGUAGGAGAGUAAUAUGAAUUGUAGAGU